GACCCAGACUCCUACGGGAGGCAGCAGUGGGGGAUAUUGCACAAUGGGGGGAACCCUGAUGCAGCGACGCCGCGUGGGUGAAGAAGCGCCUCGGCGCGUAAAGCCCUGUCAGCAGGGAAGAAAAUGGCGGUACCUGAAGAAGAAGCCCCGGCUAACUACGUGCCAGCAGCCGCGGGAAUACGUAGGGGGCAAGCGUUAUCCGGAUUUACUGGGUGUAAAGGGGGCGCAGGCGGCAGCGCAAGCCAGGAGUGAAAGCCCGGGGCCCAACCCCGGGACUGCUCUUGGAACUGCGCGGCUGGAGUGCAGGAGGGGCAGGCGGAAUUCCUGGUGUAGCGGUGAAAUGCGUAGAUAUCAGGAGGAACACCGGUGGCGAAGGCGGCCUGCUGGACUGCGACUGACGUUGAGGCCCGAAAGCGUGGGGAGCAAACAGGAUUAGAUACCCGGGUAU
rnacentral:rRNA from 1 species